GACGUAGGGUGCGAGCGUUUGUCCGGAUUUAUUAGGGCGUAAAGAGCUCGUAGGCGGCUUUGCAAGUCGGGUGUGAAAUCCCCAGGCUCAACCUAGGAACUGCAUUCGAGACUGCAUUGCUAGAGUAUGGGAGAGGGAAGUGGAAUUUCCGGUGUAGCGGUGAAAUGCGUAGAUAUCGGAAGGAACAUCAGUGGCGAAAGCGACUCCUGGACCAAUACUGACGCUCAUGUGCGAAAGCGUGGGGAGCAAACAGGAUUGAGAA
rnacentral:rRNA from 1 species